rnacentral:lncRNA from 1 species
UCUGGUAUAGUGGUUGCGAGAUAUCUCGCCAGCCAGGGAGCGGACUUUCACCAUAAAAACAACAAAAUAACACACCAUUGGACCUCAUUAAGGACCCAAAUUUGAGAAAAAAAUUAGAAGCAUUUUUACCACCACAAUGUUUGUUGUGCAGAAAUAAAGAGGCCACAACAAAAGUUCAUCCCUGUGAACACCUUCUGACAUGUGAAGAAUGUUCAAACGUUCCACUUAAACGAUGCCUGAGGUGUUUGAAACCUGUAACAAGCAGAGGUCGAGUUGAGUCUCGAAACCUGAAUGGGAAGUAUCUCAAAAGAGCAGCAGAGAAGUUAGGGAGCAACUGGCAGCAAGCAGGUGAGUAUAGAAUACCUAUUUGCUUUCUAUAAAUGUUGCCAUUACUUGAAGUUUGUUUGUUAAAAUGACAACGAAAAAGUUCCAUUCGUAAUUUCCUGUUGAAAUGUUAGCUAAAGAUAUUACUGAAACUUCAUAAAAUAUCCACCGAAAUUAGCAUAGUUUUGCAUACUUGGUGAAAUUAGGAAAUACAAUAGAGUUGAUACAAGGAACGAAGUUCUAUUGUUGUUUAAAGGCAAACAGGUGAGUUAAUAGCGAUACUUCUGUUGUUUACGUUGUUUACGUUUCUACUUAAUUUAAUGAUAGAUUGUUGUUGUUGUUGUGUAGACUUAAUCUGGCAAUAUUAUGAAGAAAGGUGUUCCAGGUGUGACGUAACGGCUUCACCUGGGAGACAAGGACCAAAUUACCAAAUGGAACUUUUUAAACAGGAGAGUGUGCAUUUUAUGUGACAUGUUGUAGUCUGCCCUUUCGCCAGUCUGUUUUCCUAUAUUUUUAGUAAUUC